CCCUUGGUAGUCUAGUUGGUUAUGGCGUUCGGCUGUAAUUGUGAUGAUUGUUACCGAAAAGUCACCGGUUCGAUUCCGGUCCGAGGGA
rnacentral:tRNA from 1 species